rnacentral:misc_RNA from 1 species
UUUUUUCCYUACGGUNUAUUUGGCGAUCCCUUUUNGUGUNGCGGCGGGUCACAUCACGGGUCCAGGGGGUCGAGAUCGAAACGAGCUUUCCGAAAAGUACUCACGGGCCCCGUGAGUCCAACGGGAUCGAAAGUUAGGCAUGUGAACGCAGAAGUAUGUAAAUUUACCGACAAAUUCUCAUUUUCGUAUUUCGUUGCAUAUAAGUAGUAUUCCGUUAAUUGCUAGGGAAUUGAAUUAAUUGAGUCGCUUAAAAGCCGAUUAAUGAGAAAAGUCGCUUAAAAGCCGAUUAAUUGAGUCGCUUAAAA